CGGGGCGUAGCCCAGCUUGGCUAGGGCGCUACAAUGGGGUUGUAGAGGUCGACGGUUCAAAUCCGUCCGCCCCGA
rnacentral:tRNA from 1 species